ACUGAUGACCACAACAGUGGAAACUACAAACACAAAAGAACGCGCAUCUCCUACCACACUGAGCAGUUCAGUAGCUGAGAAGUCUCUCAUUAGCAUUGCUGUCGCAGUGUGGCUCAGUGUGACUGCAUUGCUGCUCUUUCUCUGCCUGUUUGGGAGACACUUGUGUCUAAAAUCAAGGCUGCCAGCGUCAGCCAGGCGGCCUGAUGUGUUUCAGAGAACACAGGCGUAUAGAGAAACCACUGCAGGACUCUACUCGACUGAUCACCCACAUCAAAGAAUCAGAAGAGAUGGACCUCAAACAGAAGCAGAUGUGUAUGAAUCUCUAUC